CAGGGCCAUACUUCUUCGGAGCGGAGCGAAGGCACGAUGAGGCAUAUAGUUACAAACAGAACCAGCUCUCUGUACAUGUGACGGCUCUGUCAAGGACACCGGACAUCCACUUCCACGGGUUCCUAGACUCUGGGCACCCCAAGAACGUUACCUGCAUGGAGCCCUGGGCCUGUGAGAGGGGCGCCCCCUCCAUUCUAUUGGAUUGGGGUCACCGUCACUUCCCUGGGUUCCAGGACGUUCAAUUCCUCAGUGGUCACCCUCACACCAGGGCCCCAGGACCACGGCGCCAACCUCACCUGUAGAGCGGCCUUCCCUGGAGCUGAGGUGGUCCACAGAACCUGACCAAUCUCGUCUUUAGGGGAAACGGCACAGAUGGGAGAGGCCCUGGAGUCUCCCCACGCCGCCCCGCCUCCAGCCUGCUACAAUUUGGGCCCCAAAAUGAUCUCUACUUACCCCAGAAGUGACCCUGUCCCUUCCCAGCUCAGAACUCACCAUGGCACCCUCAUCCCUCAGUGCAUUUCUGGUGCAUGAGCCAGCAAUGAUCAGGCCUAUUGCGUCAGCACCUCUGCACAAUGCCACAUACGAAGUACUUGGACUUGUGCAUAUUCCCUCCAGCUAGAAUGAAGAUACAGCCUUUAGUAUAUAGUAUUCAAUCAAAUCUUCAAAAGGCAUAGCAUUCAAGUGAGAGAAAAUUAGCGCUAAAAUAAAGGCUAUACUAGACCUGUCUUUAAAAAAGAGGCUGAUAAUAACAGAGCUGUAAAAAUAUUGGCACAAUAUACAAGUAACUUGACUGCCUUCAAGAAAAAGAACCAGUGUUCUUUAAAGAAAUACAACAAAACCAAGCAGUCAAACACCUAAAACCGACAAUGUCCACCAUCCAGUGAAAAAUUACUAGACAUAUGAAGAAAUAUGAACCUGCAACACUUCAUAAGAGAAAAACUUUUACUAGAUGAUGCUCAGACAUGACAGAAAUGGACUUAACAGAC